GAAGUCAGAGGAUUUCCUAAUGGCUGCUGCCCCACAACUCCUCUCUCUUUCCUAAAACUGCAGUGAGUGAUGGCCCUGAGGGAGAACCGUCACCAUUAACUGCAUCUUUCGACGCUACCGCUUCUGUUUUUACAGAGAUGAAAUAAAGAGCCAAAGCAGAUGCUGACUGCAAAGUGACACCGCAUGAAACUCAACUAGAAGUUUGUUAGCAAACACCACGAAACAAACAUCUUUGUGAAGACUAUGGCACACAACAAACACAACAAAGAGGAAGUUGUGGAGAAGACGGAGGAUCCAACGUCUGUCACCCUGAAGGAGAAGAAUUAUUGAUGGCACUUUGGCUCAUGGCUCCAUCCAGUCAGAUGACUAUCUGCUGAUGCUGACAGAGUUACUGUGACAUAACAGAGAGGAAAAGUGACAGCAAAAACUUACACCACCCUGGAAGCUUCAACAAUUUCAGCAAAAUCUUUAUCCUUAUUGAUCCAAACAUUGACAUUGACAGUAACAAAGACUAGAGUUUUAUGCUCCACUCAUAAAAUACAAAAGUAUUUUAUGAACUUCCAUAAAAUACCUCAUCUUGGAACUUUCAUCUUCCAAGAAGAUCCCAUUAUCUUAUCCCUUACCCCAUUGGGGUUGGGAGGGGCGCUGGUACCUAGAGGCAGGGUACAGCCUGGACAGGUUGCCAGUCCGUCAUAGUAGCGGCAUCACCCCACACGCGUGUUUUUACAGGUACGAAGAAGUUAGACUGGACCACAUUUCAGCUGAAACUUGGUGGCAUGCUACUUGUCAAAUCAGGGCUCUGACAGUAAAGAAACAUUUUCAGAGGAAAAAGUCAUAUAGUUAAAACCUUCUGCUGAAGAGCAAUGAAGCGCUGCUAACCAAGUAGUUCUGGUCUGGUUUCUAGGACAGAAGCAACAUACAAGUAACUUUUCAGCAAGGUGUAGGAGCUUGUUUUAAGUCAAUAAUUCCUUAAUAUUCACAUAUUGUUUCACUUAGAACAUGUAAAAACAUGUCUUGGUAAUGAUCCACAGGAACUGAGGUUAUUUUUUUUUUAAUUCUGAUGAAUGACUUUAA